UACGUAGGGGGCUAGCGUUGUCCGGAAUCAUUGGGCGUAAAGAGCGUGUAGGCGGCCCGGUAAGUCCGCUGUGAAAGUCGGGGGCUCAACCCUCGGAUGCCGGUGGAUACUGUCGGGCUCGAGUACGGAAGAGGCGAGUGGAAUUCCUGGUGUAGCGGUGAAAUGCGCAGAUAUCAGGAGGAACACCUAUUGCGAAGGCAGCUCGCUGGGACGUUACUGACGCUGGAGACGCGAAAGCGUGGGAGCAACAGG
rnacentral:rRNA from 1 species